rnacentral:rRNA from 1 species
CAGUCGCCGCGGUAACACGUAGGGUGCAAGCGUUAAUCGGAAUUACUGGGCGUAAAGCGUGCGCAGGCGGUUAUAUAAGACAGAUGUGAAAUCCCCGGGCUCAACCUGGGAACUGCAUUUGUGACUGUAUAGCUAGAGUACGGCAGAGGGGGAUGGAAUUCCGCGUGUAGCAGUGAAAUGCGUAGAUAUGCGGAGGAACACCGAUGGCGAAGGCAAUCCCCUGGGCCUGUACUGACGCUCAUGCACGAAAGCGUGGGGAGCAAACAGGAUUAGAUACCCCUGUAGUCCCUGUCUCUUAUAC